rnacentral:sRNA from 1 species
AAAAGAGGAAAGAGGGAGAGAGUCCAUCCAAGCUUUCACAACUCACUCUCUUGUGUUUGAAAAUAUCUGAUUUCAUUAUUUUCUAUAAUUAAUUUCUAGAACAUCUAUUCUGAGGAAAAUGCUAGAAAGAAAUAUGCUAUUCAUUUGUAUCAGCGUUACUCUUUGUUGAUAUUAAAUGGCUUAGUCACUUUAUGGGGGAAAUAAAGAGGUUGAUUCAUGGUGAUGUGACCCUCUCGCCACUUCUGGUUCCCUUUUUCCUGCUAUAUAUCAAGACCUACAGCCCUUGGGAAGUGCAUUUCUGCAUUCGAAGAAGAACCUGAGAGAAACCUGACGCAGGGAGCAUGGGUAUCUGGACCUCAGGCACUGAUAUCUUCCUAAGUCUUUGGGAGAUUUACGUGUCUCCAAGAAGCCCCGGAUGGAUGGACUUUAUCCAGCAUUUGGGAGUUUGCUGUUUGGUUGCUCUUAUUUCAGUGGGCCUCCUGUCUGUGGCCUUCUGCUGGUUUCUGUCAUCAAUCAUAGCGGCCGCUGCCUCCUGGAUUAUCACGUGUGUUCUGCUGUGUUGCUCCAAGCAUGC